rnacentral:rRNA from 1 species
CCUACGGGGGGCUGCAGUCGAGAAUAUUCCACAAUGGACGAAAGUCUGAUGGAGCGACGCCGCGUGCAGGAUGAAGGCCCUUGGGUUGUAAACUGCUUUUGUAAGGGAAGAACUUCGGUGACGGUACCUUACGAAUAAGAGGUUACUAACUCUGUGCCAGCAGUAGCGGUAAUACAGAGACCUCAAGCGUUAUCCGGAUUUAUUGGGCGUAAAGAGCUGGUAGGUGGUUAUAUUAGUCAGAUGUCAAAUCUCCCGACUCAAUCGGGAAACUGCAUUUGAAACGGUAUAACUAGAGGGUGUGAGAGAUCUAUGGAACUCAUGGUGUAGCAGUGAAAUGCGUUGAUAUCAUGAGGAACACCAAAGGCGAAGGCAUUAGAUUGGCACACUCCUGACACUGAGCAGCGAAAGCGUGGGUAGCGAAUGGGAUUAGAUACCCUAGUAGUC